UCCAGACUCCUACGGGAGGCAGCAGUGAGGAAUAUUGGUCAAUGGCCGAGAGGCUGAACCAGCCAAGUCGCGUGAGGGAAGACGGCCCUAUGGGUUGUAAACCUCUUUUGUCAGGGAGCAACGCCGGCUACGUGUAGCCGGACUGAGAGUACCUGAAGAAAAAGCAUCGGCUAACUCCGUACCAGCAGCCGCGGUAAUACGGAGGAUGCGAGCGUUAUCCGGAUUUAUUGGGUUUAAAGGGUGCGUAGGCGGAAUGCCAAGUCAGCGGUAAAAUCGCGGGGCUCAACCUCGCUCCGCCGUUGAAACUGGCGCUCUUGAGUGGGCGAGAAGUAUGCGGAAUGCGUGGCGUAGCGGUGAAAUGCAUAGAUAUCACGCAGAACUCCGAUUGCGAAGGCAGCAUACCGGCGCCCAACUGACGCUGAAGCACGAAAGCGUGGGUAUCGAACAGGAUUAGAUACCCUAGUAU
rnacentral:rRNA from 1 species